UACGGGGGGAGCAAGCGUUGUUCGGAUUUACUGGGCGUAAAGGGCGCGUAGGCGGCGCGACAAGUCACUUGUGAAAUCUCCGGGCUCAACUCGGAACGGUCAAGUGAUACUGUCGUGCUAGAGUGCGGAAGGGGCAACUGGAAUUCUUGGUGUAGCGGUGAAAUGCGUAGAUAUCAAGAGGAACACCUGCGGCGAAGGCGGGUUGCUGGGCCGACACUGACGCUGAGGCGCGAAAGCUAGGGGAGCGAACGGG
rnacentral:rRNA from 1 species